rnacentral:lncRNA from 1 species
UCAAGAGGUUGAUGGAUAUAUUAGUGGAUAUAAAUUUUCUUUCACAUUUUGUCAGAGGAGAAGGACGUGUUGAUCUUUUUUUCUCUUGAUUUACUUCUACAAUCAAGUUAUGAGAGUUAAGAUCCAAUUCUUUCUCUUCUACUUCUUUGUCUUUAAUUAAUUCAAUUAGAUUUAAAAUAAAAACUUCUUCUAAUGUUAGAGGUGAAGAUAACUUGUCCAAUGGUUGAAUCUCUAUUGAUUUGAGCUUUGGUUUGUUUUUCUUGCCAAUAGAUUCAGGAUUUUUUAUCGGUGAAGAUAGGUUGAAUUUCUUAGAUCUA